UCUUUAUUUACCUUUCCUUCAUUUUCUCUAUCUCUCCAUAACAAUGAUUAUAUCAAUUAAACGUGUUCGCAUCAAUAUAGUGUUUCGAAUAUCGCUGGCGCGUGUACGUGAUAUUAUCCAUCAUAUACCUAAGUUGUCGAAUUGGAUUUGUUAUGCAUUAGAAAAUACAUCGAAUAACCAUUACGUGCAGUGUGAAUAAAUAUAAAUAAGAAUAUGCACGGUAUUUCAUCGUCGAAUUACGAGUACGUCGGAGUAUGUAUAAUAUAUGUAUGUACCUUUAAAGUCGGAGCGACUGCAUUAUCGAAUGAUAUGAAAUGCGCAUAAUGCACUCACAAGAGCAGACGGAAUAUAUAUAUCUGUGUAAUCAAGCGAACGCAUAUUGAAACCUGUACGUAUAGAGGAGGCACGAAAUUAACGGAUGAUCGAUUUCUCAUAAUAUGAUCCAUAAUACAGAGCUGCGCAAAUCC